GAUGAACGCUGGCGGCGUGCCUAAUACAUGCAAGUCGAGCGAACGGACGAGAAGCUUGCUUCUCUGAUGUUAGCGGCGGACGGGUGAGUAACACGUGGAUAACCUACCUAUAAGACUGGGAUAACUUCGGGAAACCGGAGCUAAUACCGGAUAAUAUUUUGAACCGCAUGGUUCAACAGUGAAAGACGGCCUUGCUGUCACUUAUAGAUGGAUCCGCGCUGCAUUAGCUAGUUGGUAAGGUAACGGCUUACCAAGGCAACGAUGCAUAGCCGACCUGAGAGGGUGAUCGGCCACACUGGAAAUGAGACACGGUCCAGACUCCUACGGGAGGCAGCAGUAGGGAAUCUUCCGCAAUGGGCGAAAGCCUGACGGAGCAACGCCGCGUGAGUGAUGAAGGUCUUCGGAUCGUAAAACUCUGUUAUUAGGGAAGAACAUAUGUGUAAGUAACUGUGCACAUCUUGACGGUACCUAAUCAGAAAGCCACGGCUAACUACGUG
rnacentral:rRNA from 1 species